rnacentral:rRNA from 1 species
GAUGAACGCUGGCGGCGUGCCUAACACAUGCAAGUCGAACGGAGAUUACGGACGGAAGUUUUCGGAUGGAAGACUGUAAUUCUUAGUGGCGGACGGGUGAGUAACGCGUGGGCAACCUGCCCUAUACAGGGGGAUAGCAGCUGGAAACGGCUGGUAAGACCGCAUAAGUCGGCGAGACCGCAUGGUUUUGCCGGGAAAUGAGCAAUCAGGUAUAGGAUGGGCCCGCGUCCGAUUAGCCAGUUGGCAGGGUACAAGCCUACCAAAGCAACGAUCGGUAGCCGGACUGGGAGGUCGGCCGGCCACAUUGGGGCUGAGACACGGCCCAAACUCCUACGGGAGGCAGCAGUGGGGGAUAUUGCACAAUGGAGGAAACUCUGAUGCAGCGACGCCGCGUGAGUGAAGAAGUAUUUCGGUAUGUAAAGCUCUAUCAGCAGGGAAGAUGAUGACGGUACCUGACUAAGAAGCCCCGGCUAACUACGUG